rnacentral:rRNA from 1 species
CAUUAAAUCAGUUAUCGUUUAUUUGAUAGUACCUUACUACAUGGAUAACCGUGGUAAUUCUAGAGCUAAUACAUGCUAAAAACCCCGACUUCGGAAGGGGUGUAUUUAUUAGAUAAAAAACCAAUGCCCUUCGGGGCUCCUUGGUGAAUCAUAAUAACUUAACGAAUCGCAUGGCCUUGCGCCGGCGAUGGUUCAUUCAAAUUUCUGCCCUAUCAACUUUCGAUGGUAGGAUAGUGGCCUACCAUGGUAUCAACGGGUAACGGGGAAUUAGGGUUCGACUCCGGAGAGGGAGCCUGAGAAACGGCUACCACAUCCAAGGAAGGCAGCAGGCGCGCAAAUUACCCAAUCCCGACACGGGGAGGUAGUGACAAUAAAUACUGAUACAGGGCUCUUUUGGGUCUUGUAAUUGGAAUGAGUACAAUUUAAAUCCCUUAACGAGGAACAAUUGGAGGGCAAGUCUGGUGCCAGCAGCCGCGGUAAUUCCAGCUCCAAUAGCGUAUAUUAAAGUUGUUGCAGUUAAAAAGCUCGUAGUUGAACCUUGGGCCUGGCUGGCCGGUCCGCCUCACCGCGUGUACUGGUCCGGCCGGGCCUUUCCUUCUGGGGAACCUCAUGCCCUUCACUGGGCGUGCUGGGGAACCAGGACUUUUACUUUGAAAAAAUUAGAGUGUUCAAAGCAGGCCUUUGCUCGAAUACAUUAGCAUGGAAUAAUAGAAUAGGACGUGUGGUUCUAUUUUGUUGGUUUCUAGGACCGCCGUAAUGAUUAAUAGGGAUAGUCGGGGGCAUCAGUAUUCAAGCGUCAGAGGUGAAAUUCUUGGAUUGCUUGAAGACUAACUACUGCGAAAGCAUUUGCCAAGGAUGUUUUCAUUAAUCAGUGAACGAAAGUUAGGGGAUCGAAGACGAUCAGAUACCGUCGUAGUCUUAACCAUAAACUAUGCCGACUAGGGAUCGGACGGUGUUAGUAUUUUGACCCGUUCGGCA